rnacentral:rRNA from 1 species
UACAGAGGUCCCAAGCGUUGUUCGGAUUCAUUGGGCGUAAAGGGUGCGUAGGCGGCGCGGUAAGUCGGGUGUGAAAUCUCGGGGCUUAACUCCGAAACUGCAUUCGAUACUGCCGUGCUUGAGGACUGGAGAGGAGACUGGAAUUUACGGUGUAGCGGUGAAAUGCGUAGAUAUCAUCAGGAACACCAGUGGCGAAGGCGACCCACUGGGUCAUUUCUGACGCUGAGGUACGAAAGCUAGGGUAGCGAACGGG